CCCGCACAAGCGGUGGAGCAUGUGGUUUAAUUCGACGCAACGCGAAGAACCUUACCAGGGCUUGACAUCCCCUGACCGCGUAUGAAAGUACGUUUUCACCCUCGGGUGACAGGGAGACAGGUGGUGCAUGGUUGUCGUCAGCUCGUGUCGUGAGAUGUUGGGUUAAGUCCCGCAACGAGCGCAACCCCUACGUUUAGUUGCUAACGCGUGAAGGCGAGCACUCUAGACGAACUGCCGUUGGCAAAACGGAGGAAGGUGGGGAUGACGUCAAAUCAUCAUGCCCCUUAUGUUCCGGGCUACACACGUGCUACAAUGGCCGGUACAGACGGACGCAAAGCCGCGAGGUGGAGCAAAUCCUAAAAAGCCGGUCUCAGUUCGGAUUGCAGGCUGCAAUUCGCCUGCAUGAAGUCGGAAUCGCAAGUAAUCGCAGGUCAGCAUACUGCGGUCGAAUACGUUCCCGGGCCUU
rnacentral:rRNA from 1 species